rnacentral:rRNA from 1 species
AUUGAACGCUGGCGGCAGGCUUAACACAUGCAAGUCGAGCGAGCGGCGGACGGGUGAGUAAUGUCUGGGAAACUGCCUGAUGGCGGGGGAUAACUACUGGAAACGGUAGCUAAUACCGCAUACCAUCAGAUGUGCCCAGAUGGGAUUAGCUAGUAGGUGGGGUAAUGGCUCACCUAGGCGACGAUCCCUAGCUGGUCUGAGAGGCUGACCAGCCACAAUGAAACUGAGACACGGGCCAGACUCCUACGGGAGGCAGCAGUGGGGAAGAGUGCACAAGGGGCGCAAGCCUGAUGCAGCCAUGCCGCGUGGGUGAAGAAGGCCUUCGGGUUGUAAAGCACUUUCAGCGAGGAGGCGUUACUAGCAGAAGAAGCACCGGCUAACUCCGUGCCAGCAGCCGCGGUAAUUC